AGAGUUUAGAUCCUGGCUCAGAUUGAACGCUGGCGGCGUGCUUAACACAUGCAAGUCGAGCGGCAGCGCGGGGGCAACCCUGGCGGCGAGCGGCGAACGGGUGACGUUAAUGCUUCGGAAUCUUCCUCGUAGUGGGGAACAACCUGGGGAAACUCAGGCUAAUACCCGCAUACGAACUACGGUUGAAAGCAGGGGAUCGCAAGACCUUGCGCUAUGAGAUGAGCCCGAAGUCGGAUUAGCUAGUUGGUAGGGUAACGGCCUACCAAGGCGACGAUCCGUAGCUGGUCUGAGAGGACGACCAGCCACACUGGGACUGAGACACGGCCCAGACUCCUACGGGAGGCAGCAGUGGGGAAUAUUGGACAAUGGGGGCAACCCUGAUCCAGCGACGCCGCGUGUGUGAAGAAGGCCUGCGGGUUGUAAAGCACUUUUAGUGGGGAUG
rnacentral:rRNA from 1 species